AGUCCUUUCCUGUAAACAGUUUUUUUUUCUUUCCUUCUUGCAGUAUUUUUUCAACUCUGCUUAGACAAAUCUGUAGCGGGAGCCGAGGGGGUUUGAAGAAAAACAGUCAUGUCUGAUGAAUGGACAUAUGAAGGAAAAGAAUGAAGGGGGAAGAGCGUGGUCUGCGGGAGAAAAAGCCAGAAAGACUGAGAAAGAGAGGGAGACGUAGGAGGAAAAAAAAAAGAGAGAGAGAGAGUACCGGCACUGGCAAGAAAAAACGGGAGGGGGAAGAGAGGAAGGACCAGUAGGGGAUAGACUUAGGAAGGAGGGACGGCUGGAUAGGAAUUGACCGAAAUCGCGGGAAAAAGGAGAAAAAACAAAACUCCAGAAUGAGACGAAACUGGACUUCUCUCCACAACUCUGUGGCUGCCUCUGAUUUUUUGUUUGCUGCUAUGAUUUUUUCUCCACCACCCUCUCAUUCAUGUGUUGAGCCUCAGACAACCAAAACUUCAAGACCUGACUUUUAAAGAGGAAUGCCACGGUCAACCUUGGAAGCUCCCCAGCGAGACGAGAGCCAUGGGAAAAAGCUCCAGCUAGAUCCUGGUUGGGAGGUAAAUGCUUCGACAACAUCUGUUUCUUCUGCACUAACAAAGACGCUGAAUGUGAAAUGAAAGGGAGAGCAAACAGCUUGAUAGAUCAGAGCCAGUGACAGCGAACGUGGGCUUCGAAUAUCCAGAGACACAAGCAUUUUCAUGUCUCCUAGCUUUUCUUCUCUCCUCUGACAGUCUUUCUCCGUCUCCUUCUGUCCCUCUUUUCUUUUCAUUAUAAAACACAAGUUUGUUCUAAUUGUACUGACGCAAAAUUGCCGCCACUAUAAAGAAGCUGCUUCCCAGCUGGUUUAACACAUUCAGAGAGCCGUCGCUGUGUGUUAUUCAACAUAAGUGCAUAUGGGACCUCACGUAACUGCCCGCAAGAUUACCCUCUUUCUAUACGUUUCCAAAAAAAAAAAAAAAAGAGCAUUUGAACCAGUCAAAGCUGCCUUACAUCAUCUGUCACCCACAGA